GACGGAGGAUGCAAGUGUUAUCCGGAAUCACUGGGCGUAAAGCGCGUGUAGGUGGAAGAGGAAGUCUGCUGUGAAAGCGCUGCUUACGGGCGUAAGCUCGGGUGGAAGCGUCGUACUCAUCUGGAGGGCGGUAGAGGGGGGUGGAAUUCCGGGUGUAGUGGUGAAAUGCGUAGAUAUCUGGAGGAACACCGGUGGCGAAGGCGGCAUCCUGGACCGAUACUGACGCUGAUGAGCGAAAGCCAGGGGAGCAAACGGG
rnacentral:rRNA from 1 species